UACGAAGGGGGCUAGCGUUGUUCGGAAUUACUGGGCGUAAAGGGCGCGUAGGCGGACAGUUUAGUCAGAGGUGAAAGCCCAGGGCUCAACCGUGGAAUUGCCUUUGAUACUGGCUGUCUUGAGUUCGGGAGAGGUGAGUGGAAUGCCGAGUGUAGAGGUGAAAUUCGUAGAUAUUCGGCGGAACACCAGUGGCGAAGGCGACUCACUGGCCCGAUACUGACGCUGAGGCGCGAAAGCGUGGGGAGCAAACAGG
rnacentral:rRNA from 1 species